CUACGAAGGUGGCUAGCGUUGUUCGGAAUCACUGGGCGUAAAGCGCGUGUAGGUGGAUCAAUUAGUUGAGGGUGAAAUCCCGGGGCUCAACCUCGGAACUGCCUUCAAUACUGUUGAUCUUGAGACCGAGAGAGGUGAGUGGAAUUCCUAGUGUAGAGGUGAAAUUCGUAGAUAUUAGGAAGAACACCAGUGGCGAAGGCGGCUCACUGGCUCGGUACUGACGCUGAGGUGCGAAAGCGUGGGGAGCAAACAGGAUUAGAAACCCUAGUAGUCC
rnacentral:rRNA from 1 species